GACGAACGCUGGCGGCGUGCCUAAUACAUGCAAGUAGAACGCUGAAGGAGGAGCUUGCUUCUCUGGAUGAGUUGCGAACGGGUGAGUAACGCGUAGGUAACCUGCCUGGUAGCGGGGGAUAACUAUUGGAAACGAUAGCUAAUACCGCAUAAUAGUAGAUGUUGCAUGACAUUUGCUUAAAAGGUGCAAUUGCAUCACUACCAGAUGGACCUGCGUUGUAUUAGCUAGUUGGUGGGGUAACGGCUCACCAAGGCGACGAUACAUAGCCGACCUGGGAGGGUGGUCGGCCACACUGGGACUGAGACACGGCCCAGACUCCUACGGGAGGCAGCAGUAGGGAAUCUUCGGCAAUGGACGGAAGUCUGACCGAGCAACGCCGCGUGAGUGAAGAAGGUUUUCGGAUCGUAAAGCUCUGUUGUAAGAGAAGAACGAGUGUGAGAGUGGAAAGUUCACACUGUGACGGUAUCUUACCAGAAAGGGACGGCUAACUACGUG
rnacentral:rRNA from 1 species